rnacentral:rRNA from 1 species
CUACGUGCCAGCAGCCGCGGUAAUACGUAGGUCCCGAGCGUUGUCCGGAUUUAUUGGGCGUAAAGCGAGCGCAGGCGGUUAGAUAAGUCUGAAGUUAAAGGCUGUGGCUUAACCAUAGUACGCUUUGGAAACUGUUUAACUUGAGUGCAAGAGGGGAGAGUGGAAUUCCAGGUGUAGCGGUGAAAUGCGUAGAGAUCUGGAGGAAUACCGGUGGCGAAGGCGGCCCCCUGGACAAAGACUGACGCUCAGGUGCGAAAGCGUGGGGAGCAAACAGGAUUAGAUACCCUGGUAGUCCACGCUGUAAACGAUGUCGAUUUGGAGGUUGUGCCCUUGAGGCGUGGCUUCCGGAGCUAACGCGUUAAAUCGACCGCCUGGGGAGUACGGCCGCAAGGUUAAAACUCAAAUGAAUUGACGGGGGCCCGCACAAGCGGUGGAGCAUGUGGUUUAAUUCGAUGCAACGCGAAGAACCUUACCUGGUCUUGACAUCC